UUACGGCCAUAUCAUGUUGAAACACCGUUCUCGUACGAUCACCGAAGUUAAGCAACGUUGAGCCUGGUCAGUAUUUAGAUGGGUGACCGCUUGAGAAUACCACACACUGUAA